UGAACAUUCUCAUAGCAACAACUGCCUCUUUUUCAAAACUAGGUUCUGGGUGGGUAUUUUAUACUGCCUGUGGACACUUUUAUAUACUGCCAAUAAGGCAAAUAAACCAGAACUAGCUUAUAUUAAUUAAACAUAUUCCUUUUUCCUUUACAAGUUUUCAAGGGCAGUGGUUCUUACAUCACUGCUUUCAUGCUUGUAUUUAUUUUUUUUAAGUCCUUGGCGAUUGGUCCAUACAGCAUCUGCUGUGGCAAAAUGAUUUCAUUUUUCAUUUUAUUGACUUCUCUAACAUCAAAAUGCAACAGCAACCAUUUUGCUUCCUUUCUAGCUUUUUUUUUUCCUUCCUAUUUUGGUGUCACCUUUAAUUUUCAUUUCUUUCUUUUCCCCUGGGAAAAUUGUCUUUAUAGCAUAAGUUUCCCAGUCACUAGAUGGUGAGACAAAGAAAUCAGUUCGUUUCUCAACAGUAUUUGCCUCAGCUGUCACUAAGCGUCCCUCCUUUUUCUCCGCUACCUCACCCCCUCCCUCCUUUCUGGGUGCUCAGUCUAGCAAUGACCUCUUGCUGUGUAGGGAUCAGUAGUUUCUUCUUCUUGGUUUUUAUUUCCAACACUGACAAUCACUAUUACUAAUUUACUUUCCUUUGGUUGAUUUCCCUCUUGACUUUCCUCAGGUCCCUCACACUUUCCUCAAGUAGACUGAUUAUGUAAACAGCUUCAUAUGGAAAAUGUUGGCUUUUUCCUGAUUUUGUUUUACAUUCUUCCCCAGUGUUCAUUUCACUUUUCCGUAUCACAUUAUACUUCGUAAGCCAAAGAUGGGCCGCUUAACUCUUUGCCUUCCCAUCAAUCUUCCUUUGCAGAUGCCCUUCAAACCAUUUUUGCCUGCUUUUUAGCCAACCAUACUUUUAAGCAAAUAGUAACUCUGAGGUUAUCUGGAAGAGAUAACUGGCAGGUGUGGGAAAGGUUAAGAACUCCCUCCUGGCUGUCAAUUCUCCCCUAUAAAUCCCCCCUUAAAUCGACACAUUUUUGUUGCCCAGGCCAAUUUGGGCUUGGAAGCAUAUGUUUGCUGAGGUAUAAUGUGUAGUCUUAUCCUUAAGGCUGUUUGUUUUACUUCUCCAUUAGCAUUAUAUUUACUGCUUAUCAGGUAUUUUGCUAUUUCAUUCCGUUCUGAGCUGUACAUUACAACAAUCGCAGACAGUAAAGUAACUGUGUUGCAUGCUCACAAUCACAAACUGUAAAUUCCCUCUCCACCCUACCAGUAUUCUAUUACCUUUAGGUAAACUGCACCCAAACACAGAAAAUUUCUCAAAACAGAUGACUGAGGCAGGUGUGGCCACAAAGGAGAUAAGAAGACCGCUUAAACUCUAAGCUCUGCUUCAAGAUCCAGAAAAACAGGAAAAGCCCCUGCUGUCUAACCCCCCCAAAAAAAAUCUUGAAGAAAGGAGAGAAUGGGUUCAGAAAAGCUGAAAACAAAAGGCCUCACUCCAUUCUGCCUGCCUGAAGACAGAAGGCUCACUUCUCAACAAGGACACUAAUGAAGGCCGCAAUCAAGAUGGCAUCACCCUCAAUAAAGGCCUCUUCCUCACUGGAGAAAGAAAUUUGGUAUAUCUUAAGAGAAUUGGCAGCACAAGAAGCAGCUAUGAACAAGCUUCUUAAAAAUACUCAGAAAGCACUAAUGCUUCCAAUGGAAAUGAAAUUGACAGAACAGAAACUACAGCAACAGAAAAAUUAAGCCAAAUCCAUGACAAAAAGAUCAAAGAAUUACAAAAAGAAAAUGUAUUCACAGCAAGCUU